GAUGAACGCUGGCGGCGUGCCUAAUACAUGCAAGUCGAACGCACUCUCGUUUAGAUUGAAGGAGCUUGCUCCUGAUUGAUAAACAUUUGAGUGAGUGGCGGACGGGUGAGUAACACGUGGGUAACCUGCCCUAAAGUGGGGGAUAACAUUUGGAAACAGAUGCUAAUACCGCAUAAAACCUAACACCGCAUGGUGUAGGGUUGAAAGAUGGUUUCGGCUAUCACUUUAGGAUGGACCCGCGGCGCAUUAGUUAGUUGGUGAGGUAAAGGCUCACCAAGACCGUGAUGCAUAGCCGACCUGAGAGGGUAAUCGGCCACACUGGGACUGAGACACGGCCCAGACUCCUACGGGAGGCAGCAGUAGGGAAUCUUCCACAAUGGACGAAAGUCUGAUGGAGCAACGCCGCGUGAGUGAAGAAGGUUUCGGAUCGUAAAACUCUGUUGUUGGAGAAGAAUGUAUCUGAUAGUAACUGAUCAGGUAGUGACGGUAUCCAACCAGAAAGCCACGG
rnacentral:rRNA from 1 species